GAUGAAGAACGUAGCGAAAUGCGAUAAGUAAUGUGAAUUGCAGAAUUCAGUGAAUCAUCGAAUCUUUGAACGCACAUUGCGCCCGCCAGUAUUCUGGCGGGCAUGCCUGUUCGAGCGUCAUUACAACCCUCAGGCCCCCGGGCCUGGCGUUGGGGAUCGGCGGAGCCCCCCGUGGGCACACGCCGUCCCCCAAAUGCAGUGGCGGUCCCGCCGCAGCUUCCAUCGCGUAGUAGCUAACACCUCGCGACUGGAGAGCGGCGCGGCCACGCCGUAAAACACCCGACUCUUCUGAAGUUGACCUCGAAUCAGGUAGGAAUACCCGCUGAACUUAAGCAUAUCAAUAAGCGGAGGA
rnacentral:misc_RNA from 1 species